AUGGCACUUAGUAGAACUAGAUUGCUGCGCCCAAUGGGCAUUCGGCUUUUUGGCGGGAUCAAACUGUGCCAGAUUAAAACUGUUAUUGCACUGGUGUGGCCGCGAAGGCGGCGUUGUGGAUGCCACAGACACAACGCCCCACCUGCAGCUUCAGACACUC
rnacentral:snoRNA from 1 species